UAGGGAAUCUUCGGCAAUGGGGGGAACCCUGACCGAGCAACGCCGCGUGAGUGAAGAAGGUUUUCGGAUCGUAAAGCUCUGUUGUUAAGGAAGAACGAGUGUGAGAAUGGAAAGUUCAUACUGUGACGGUACUUAACCAGAAAGGGACGGCUAACUACGUGCCAGCAGCCGCGGUAAUACGUAGGUCCCGAGCGUUGUCCGGAUUUAUUGGGCGUAAAGCGAGCGCAGGCGGUUAGAUAAGUCUGAAGUUAAAGGCAGUGGCUCAACCAUUGUAGGCUUUGGAAACUGUUUAACUUGAGUGCAGAAGGGGAGAGUGGAAUUCCAUGUGUAGCGGUAAAAUGCGUAGAUAUAUGGAGGAACACCGGUGGCGAAAGCGGCUCUCUGGUCUGUAACUGACGCUGAGGCUCGAAAGCGUGGGGAGCGAACAGG
rnacentral:rRNA from 1 species